rnacentral:rRNA from 1 species
UACAGAGGUCUCAAGCGUUGUUCGGAUUCAUUGGGCGUAAAGGGUGCGUAGGCGGCGCGGUAAGUAGGGUGUGAAAUCCCUCGGCUCAACCGAGGAACUGCGCUCUAAACUACCGUGCUUGAGGGAGGUAGAGGUGAGCGGAACUUAGGGUGGAGCGGUGAAAUGCGUUGAUAUCCUAAGGAACACCGGUGGCGAAAGCGGCUCACUGGAUCUCUUCUGACGCUGAGGCACGAAAGCUAGGGUAGCGAACGGG